GGGCCUGUUUACAACACCCCUGAACUUUAGGCUAACCAACAUGUUCACUAGUUUGAAUGAGUAUGCCUAGGUAAUGGGUCUGACCCAUUGUUGUGGCAUUUCAUUUUGAUGAUUACAUGUUCGAGGAGAGUGUUUGGCUGCUCAUUAAAGCCACUUGGUUUGUGCCUCUACCAUUGGAGUCUCAAGAAGAAGCCUCCUACGAACAAGAAGCUAUCUAUUAGUAUGAGGAUGAGGAGGAUGACAAUCUGGAUGAUGAAGCUUACUUUGGAAGCUCCUCAAGCCUUCGUAUUGGUAACCAUAGGUGUUUUAUACCUCUUUGGUAUAUUUGUUUAUUCCUAGUUGAUAUAUUCUGCUAGCAUCCAGAAACUGACUAUUGGAUUGAAGAACAUUUUCCCCCAUUGAAGAUCUGUGCCAUUUUUUACAGAUAUCACAAUAAUAUUGAUGUUCCUGUCUUAUUGCAAAGUAUCAAUGAAGAUAAAGAUAGGGAAUUGGUAGAUGCACAGGUAGAAAUCAAGGCGUUGAAGUACUUAGAACGCCUUAUAGAAAAAGCAGUUGAAGAGGUGAUGUGAAUGACAUGUGAAACAAGGCCUUUGUUGUUGCUUAUGGUGAAAAAACUUUUAGCUUUUCUGAAACUGAUUCAAAAGAAUGUUAUAAUAUAUGUUAUAUAGUUUAAACCAUGAUUUGUGCAACUUAAAAGGAAUAUGAGUUCAGCAAUAAAACGAGGCCUCCUUGUCAGGAUGUGCGGGUUUCAAUAUUAGUUUGUUUACCACAAUCAUCUUGUCAUGACCCUCCACAAUGAUCCA